UUAAAACAAAAAUUACAACGUUUAAGACAAAAAUUAUAAUUUUUUAGGUGAAAAUUGUACUGUUUGAUACAAAAGUUACACUCUUCAAGAGAAAGUUGCACUAUUUAAACGAAAAUUAUAUUUUUUGAGAGAAAGUUGCACUUUUUAAUCAAAAGUUGUAUUGUUCGAGAAGCAAAUUUCGUUGUUUGAGACAAAAUUUAGCAUCAUUUGAGUUGGAGCAUUUAAAACUAUAUGAGACUAAAUUGCACCACAUAAAAUAGAAGUUGCAUCAUUUGAAACUAAAUUGCAUAGUUUGAGACUAAGUUACACUGUUUGAGA
rnacentral:lncRNA from 1 species